GCUGAAAAUGUCGGCCUCUCCGAACCAUGCCGUCGGGAAUUUAUGGCAUCGUGUUGCUCGCCCGUGCCCACAGAUCAAACUUUCUUUUCCAGAGCUAGGAGAAUGAUACCUAUUCAAAAAAGGCAUAGGGCUCCCUUUGCUUAUUGCAAAAACACCGUGAAAGAAAUCCUCAAUCAGGAAACAGCGAUUCCAGAACCACCUCCACUAGCACUGAAUUCUUCCAUUCCUCAUCGGCGCCAGAAAAUCACCAGGAAGUCCCAACCAGACAAGAAAGUUCCUGUUUCUCCGAGCAGCAUUGCAGAGUGGUUUGAAAUAAGGAAACUGAAGUUUCACCAGCUGCACUCAAAUCCCUGUUCAUUGUCUUCUCAUCGCUAUAAGCUUAACCUCUUCUUCUAUCAGUUUUGUCAUCUAUAAAAG
rnacentral:lncRNA from 1 species